rnacentral:misc_RNA from 1 species
GAUGAAGAACGCAGCGAAAUGCGAUACGUAAUGUGAAUUGCAGAAUUCAGUGAAUCAUCGAAUCUUUGAACGCAUAUUGCGCUCUCUGGUAUUCCGGAGAGCAUGCUUGUUUGAGUAUCAGUAAACACCUCAACUCCCUUUUCUUUUUUGAAAUUGGAGCUGGACUUGAGUGAUCCCAACGCUUUCUUCCAAGAAAGUGGCGGGUUGCUUGAAAUGCAGGUGCAGCUGAACUUUUCUCUGAGCUAUAAGCCUAUCUAUUUAGUCUGCCUAAAAAACAGAUUAUUACCUUUGCUGCAGCUAACAUAAAGGAGACUAGUUCUUGUGCUGACUGAUGCAGGAUUCACAGAGACAGCUUCGGCUGACUUUGUAAACUCGAUCUCAAAUCAAGUAAGACUACCCGCUGAACUUAAGCAUAUCAAUAAGCGGAGGA